rnacentral:rRNA from 1 species
UACAGAGGGUGCGAGCGUUGUCCGGAAUCACUGGGCGUAAAGGGCGCGUAGGCGGCCUGAUAAGUCGGGGGUGAAAUCCUGUGGCUUAACCACAGGGCUGCCUCCGAGACUGUCGGGCUCGAGCACAGUAGAGGCAGGUGGAAUUCCCGGUGUAGCGGUGGAAUGCGUAGAGAUCGGGAAGAACAUCGGUGGCGAAGGCGGCCUGCUGGGCUGUUGCUGACGCUGAGGCGCGACAGCACGGGGAGCGAACGGG